rnacentral:rRNA from 1 species
UACGAAGGGGGCGAGCGUUGUUCGGAUUUACUGGGCGUAAAGGGCGCGCAGGCGGCUAGUUUUGUCGAGUGUGAAAGCCCCGGGCUUAACCUGGGAACUGCGCUCGAAACGGGCUGGCUAGAGAUCGGGAGAGGAGAGUGGAAUUCCCAGUGUAGAGGUGAAAUUCGUAGAUAUUGGGAAGAACACCGGUGGCGAAGGCGGCUCUCUGGGACCGAUACGUGACGCUGAGGCGGCGAAAGCG